CAAGCUUGAGAGUGGUGUUCAUAUCAUUGAAGCAGAACGCAGUACUCUUUCUACUUCUGGACACAGGGCAUUGAAAAUCUCCUUCAGUGUCUUUAUCUCUUAGGAAAGGAAAUGGAUCUACAAUGCCAUUAAACUUGGAUUGAUGAACAAGAAGCCCCUUCCCGAUGCUGGCCCCUCAGUUUUGGACUUCUAGCCUCCAGAAUUGAAGCAGCAUGGUGCUCAUAAAGAUUUAACUGAAAGGAACUACGUAAGUAGUAAUUUGGUUCAUCCCUUUGACUAUUUAGGAGACUUACUGGAGUAGUUUUCAUUGAAAUGACAGCACUUCUUUUCCUUCCAUAAUCAUCUAGAUUCCUUACAUUAGAAGAGCAGUCUUUGCUGUGGAGGACAAAACAGUUUUAAUGGUUUAUGCCUUCAAAAAAUCUUUUUUUCUGGGAAAUGAAAUAUCUAUUGCUCUAUUGUAUGCAUUAGAUAUUUAAAUAAUUUUUCUAAUUAUUAUUGGUUGAACUAAAUGAGGCAAUGAGCUCACAAGGCUACAUACACAGUUAAACCUUUAUUCUAGUAGUAAAUCCUAGUAGAAUGAUCUUUCAUUAGUGAACAAUAUUGUUCACAAAUUGGUGUACAUUAAAUCAAUUAUUGGGUUCAAGGGGACCCAGCUUCUUAAUUACAAGAUGGGUUAGAAUUCUGGCCCUGUCACUCUGAGACAAUGGGCAGUUUGUGCCUGAGUUUAUUUUACAGGGUAGAUACUGUAGAAACAUGAAAGCUACUAAUGCAAAGAAAUAAAAUUAUGUUAUGUUUCAGUAAUUUUCUAAAAUCUUAUAAGCUAUAAACAUGGAUUCUGUGUGUUUAUUUGUUUUGUAUUUGGGGAAUAUUCUUUAGGUAAAGAUGGUUUGGAAGGGGAUUGGCUAUAUCACAUAGCACUUUCACACUGACUGGAUUCAAUCGUUCAUGCACGUGAGUCACCUUAAACUAGGAGCAUCAUCCUAAAUAUUACCAGUGCCUACAAGCUGUAGAGAUUUAAUAAUUUAUUUUUUGAACACAUACAUUAAGUAAUGUGGCUACUUAGGAGUGAUUACCUUUUUGGUGACAAACAUCAACGCAGGGAGUAACAAAGAAAGUAAAAAUAAAAUUAUCUCCAUUUUCUAGGGCACGAGUCAAUAAACUUCUUAUGUAAAGGAGCAGGUAAUACAUGUUAUCUGCUUUGCAGGCCAUAUAAUCUCUGUUGGAACUAUUCAACUCCACCACUGUGCAAAAACAUUAAAA
rnacentral:lncRNA from 1 species